rnacentral:lncRNA from 1 species
CUGUCCCCGCUCCGCGCUGCAGCCCGCGGCCCCGCGGGGUCCUAGGCCCAGCUCCCCGCAGUUUUGCGGUGCCCCCGCCCCCCGCGGCCCGCCAGCCGGCCGGGUUUCCGCCUUACUUCCCUGUGCUUAGAAUUUGCAGCCGCAUCCGCUGACGCUCGCAGCCAAUUUCACGGCCUGUGGGCUCCGCGCGGUGCGCGGGAUCGUAAAACCGCCGGCGCAGGGCGGGGGCGGGCGGGGGCUCCCUGGAGGCACCCGGGGAAGGGGCAGAGGGGGCGUUGGGGAGAGGGUGUGUGUGUAAGGGGUGUGGACCGGAUGGGGGGCGCCACUGGUGGCUGCCCUGGGGGUGCUCCGAGGGUGUGCAGGCAUGGUCGUGUGUGUGCUGGAGUGUCGUCUGGGAGUGGAUGUCCACUUGUGGGAACAUGUCUGGGACGUGUGUUUUGGCGUGUGAGUCUGUGUAGGGGCCCCAGCGCUCGCUGGCAGGUUUGUCUGGGUGUGUAUAGUGAAACGUGUGUGUGUGUGUGUUGGGCAGUUCACAGUGAAUGGGGGCCAGUGUGUUUCUGUGGGUGUGUUGACAUGUGUCUGUGCAGUGUCUCCAGGCAUGUUGGCACCUGUGUGUGUUUGCGUGUUGGGGCUGGCCCCCUUAUGUCUGGGUUCUGUGGGCAGCUGUGUACAGUGCAUGUGGGGCUGUGUACGCACGUUUAUCGGAGGGAGUGUGAAAUUCUGGAGUGUAGGUUGCUGUCCUGGUGUCUUGUGGAUGCAGGUGUGUGUGUGAGGGUACCGUGUGCAACUUGGAGUGUUGUCCUGUCCUGUCCCUGCUGGUGUCUGGGGUCAGGAUUCACAUAUGAGCCCAGUAGCUGGGGGCCUGUCCUCUCCCUCCCCAGGUCUGGGAGCCCUCUCCAGGAGCAAGCCUGCUGCUCCCUUGUUUUCUGCCUUGGUGUGGGUAAUGGAGUUGACGCAGCGCAGGGGGCAGAGUGUAUGUUUCUGUUCUGUAGCUGCUGCUGGCUGCCAACUCUGAAGGAGAGGAUUUGGAUGAGGAGCUGCUGCUGCCUGAGCUGGGUCAGGACCUGA